AUUCCAGCUCCAAUAGCGUAUAUUAAAGUUGUUGCAGUUAAAAAGCUCGUAGUUGAAUUUUUGACCUGGCUGGGUGGUCUUGCCGCAAGGUGAGUACUGCUCCGGUUGGGUCUUUCCUUCUGGGGAACCAAGGUGCCCUUUACUGGGUGCUUUGGGGAUCCAGGACUUUUACUUUGAAAAAAUUAGAGUGUUUAAAGCAGGCUUACGCUUGAAUACAUUAGCAUGGAAUAAUAGAAUAGGACUUUGGUUCUAUUUUGUUGGUUUCUAGGACCGAGGUAAUGAUUAAUAGGGAUAGUUGGGGGCAUUAGUAUUUAAUUGUCAGAGGUGAAAUUCUUGGAUUUAUGAAAGACUAACUUCUGCGAAAGCAUUUGCCAAGGAUGUUUUUAUUG
rnacentral:rRNA from 1 species